CUUACAUUCUGAGAGGAAGCUGGAUGGUUACUGUGAGGGGGGCUUGCAUUCGGAGAGGAACCUAAGAGGCAAACAUAAGCAAGCAGAAUACUUCAAAAUAAUAAGAUCCUGCCAUGGAAAAGAAGACUGGGUGGACAUCGUGGAAAGGAGGGGAAAUAACUCACACCAUGCAGCAGGACACCUUCAGCUGCGGGGUCUUAGUAAUGCAGAUGGCCAAGGAAGUUGCACAGAACUUCCCCAACAUCCCCUCCCAAAUGGAUAUAGAACCUUCACAAAAACACAUGGAGCAACUGAAAAUAAAUGGCUGAGGAUAUACUAAAAAUGUCUGAGUUCAACAAAGCCAACAACUGCUUCAUAUGUGCCACUGAUAAAGAACCUGGAUGUGGCCCAAAGACUGACUGGAUUGAAUGUUUUGCAUGCCAACGGUGGUUCCAUGUGCUACAAAAGAGUUAAACAGAGUGAAGAACACAAACUGGAAGUGCAGUCUGUUGUUGAAACUGUAUGCUAUACCCCAUCCACACUGAAGAGGCUCUGAAGUUUACGUCAACCAGGAAUAAAGAGAAAGUUAACACUGUGAAAUGUUUAGUACUUAUUUGAAGUAAAGUGUCCGUUGACAUGUUGGAAAAGAUUAAAGGUUUACAAUUUC